AGGGCCAGUUUUGCAUAGUGUUCAUACACAACAGCCAAUUGUUUUUCAGAGACUGUGGAUAUCCAACAUGGACAGCGUUUAUCACAGCGCCGAAUGCAGUAUUUUUCUACUUUUUAUUUUCACACUUUUAUAAUCAGGCAUAUGGAUCUAGAAAACAAUCUAAUAACGCUAAGAAGAUUGAAACAAAUAAUAAUGUGUCUCAAAAAGAAAUUAAAGCAGAUUAGAAGUUCUCUGUGGAAGCUCACAAUGCCUGAUUCUUUUAUGGUUAUAGUACCUAUCAAAAUCAAAAAAUUAUUACUUUAAGAACAGUACUUCGAUCUCGCAGUUUUCAAAUUAGUUUAUCAAAACCAACAAAAUAAAAAAAAGGAAAAUAAAAACUUUAUGUUAUGUCAAAUUUAAUGCCCGAAACCACUGUCAAAAUAAAGUUGUCAAAGUGACAAUGUUGAUAUCGGCUUCGGAUACCAGUAAUAUACCAAUUCUGUGAAUGCCAAAAACGUUAAUAAUAAAGAUUUUAUUUUUCGUAUAGAGGCAGACAUCCCCAAAGGCAUUGUUAAACUAAGAUGUCACAAAACAUAGUUUCUACACUAAAAUUAAUCAAUAAGAAUAUUUUCUGAAAUUGUAGGUCAUUGCAAAACAAUAUUUUGUUUAAGAACUGAAAUUGGCAUACAUUGUGUGAUGAUGAAAAACCUUUUUUCCAUUAUUUUUUAGUAUAAUAUUUUUGUGUUGUGUUUAAUUAUUUGGCAAUCCUAAAUCUUAAUAAACGAUACAAAUUCC
rnacentral:lncRNA from 1 species